AAAAAACUGCGAAGAUGCAAGCUGUGAUUUUGUGCCUCCCUUUAUUGGCAGCCUUGUGUAGCAUGACUCUAUGUGGACUUCCGCCUCCUAUCAGCUACGGCGUCAACUACGCCUGCUUGCCUCUCUGCGCCAUGGGACAGCAGCACGGCGACUGGUGUGGUCCGAACUGUACUUGUCGAGCCCACAUGAGGUUUCGAUGGCCGUUAACGUGCGUGGAUAUCCACUCCCAGACACCGUAUCAAAUGCGUCCAUGGAGACGGCCGAGCCCACCACGUUAACAAGGUUAUAUUGAACUUCACGAACGCGCCAGGCUUCCUACAGACGGCGUAUCAUCGUAUAGGCCAUGAACUUCUUUAAGUGGGUCAUUAGAUCAAGUGCCGUGAAGAUAUGAAAAUUUAGAUUUCAAUAAAAAUAACGAGGCACGUCUUAUGCACCUGUGACGAUACGGAACCGUGACAUGGGAGCAAGCUCUCAAACAAUAUUGCUGCGCCCAAUAAAUUUCAAAUUUUUAUUGCC